CUCCCUUCCCAACCACCAGGGGCCUGGGUUUGGAGGCGCAAGACUUUGUUGAUUUCGUGGAGGGGCAGCCAGCUGCGCGGCGAGAAAGAGAAACGGAAGCUUGGAGAACUGGAGCGACUUGCCAGGAUUGCACUGGACAUGGCAGCGGCAGCACCCAUCUGACGCCCAAGGAAGCUGCUGCCUCCUGUCCUGGUCCUGACCUUUGGCUUCUCAAGGGCUGUGCUACUUGUGGCAGUUGUUCAAACAGCUUCAAUAUCCUGGCACAAGAUGGCACUUCAUUUGAUGGGAUGCAGCACAAGGCCAGUCUCGUUCCCAAGGAAACAGCUGCCAACAGAUGAUAGGCUUCACUUUCUCAUGAAGCUGUGGGUUUCCAGCCUCAGGGAGUGAAGAAGUCUCAAAGUGAAAAGCUGCAAUCAAUUCCUCACUCUGCUGCUGUGUGUGGCAUCUCUGUCUGUCUGAAUCUGACCCAUUGUUCAAAGCCCAACUUAAAUGCCACUUCCUCCCAUGGAGACUUUUCUGAUUUUUUCCUUUCUCCCAGGUUCCCCUCUCUGUCAUGCUAGGUAUGAUCAUAGGCCACCAGACUCCUCUGUCCAUGGAGUUCUCCAGGGAGUGUGUUGCCAUUCCCUUCUCCAGGGGAUCUUCCCAGUCUCUCACAUUGCAGACAGAUUCUUUACCAUCUGAGCCACCAGAGAAGCCCAGGUAUGACUCACCUUCCUCCAAAUACACUCACUUGCUGUGACUGUCCUUAGAGUUAAAUAGUUGACCUCUAUGGGCCUUAAUUAUUAAUCCUUCCUUUGUAAAGUGGAAAUAAUAUCUGCCUUGUAAGGCAAAAGUUCAGAGAAGGCAAUGGCACCCCACUCCAGUACUUUUGCCUGGAAAAUCCCAUGGACAGAGGAGCCUGGUAGGCUGCAGUCCAUGGGGUUGCUAGAGUCAGACACGACUGAGCAACUUCACUUUCACUUUCACUUUUCACUUUCAUGCAUUGGAGAAGGAAAUGGCAAACCACUCUAGUGUUCUUGCCUGGAGAAUCCCAGGGACGGCAGAGCCUGGUGGGCUGCUGUCUAUGGGGUUGCACAGAGUCGGACAUGACUGAAGUGACUUAGCAGCAGCAGCAACAGCAAGGCAAAAGUUAAAAGAAAGAAUACAUGUAAUAUAUGUACAGUCCUAGCACACAGAAUGUUCUUACAUAUGUUGUUCUGAUGUUACCACACUCAAAUCUAUACCCACACAGCCCUACACAAUCACAGACAGAUUUUACCUGUGUGUGUUAAGGCCCUUAUUCUUUUUUCCUUCUAUAAUAAUUAUUUGUGUAGGUUCCCAGAGUUGGGGUAGAGAAAUAGGGUGUAGUGAAAAGAAAUAGGAUUUGGAAUAAAAAAUCUGGGUCUCCC
ensembl:lncRNA